rnacentral:lncRNA from 1 species
CUUAAUUAAAGAUGGAAUUUAUUAUCAAAAUGGAAACACAACUUAAAGAUUUGGAAAAUUCUCAGCCUGGCCACGUAAAGAAUGAGAAAGUGUGUUUUGGAGUGAAUAUUAAGGAUGUGGCUAAGCAACUGUUUGAAAUGGAGGUUAGUAUGGAUAGAAGGAAGCCAGGCGCUAUUCACCGAGACAAUGAAAGAAUGAUCCCAAAGGCAUUUCUGAAAUCUUUGUGGAUACCCUACUGUCACAGGCCCAAAGUGCCAUGGCCUUGUGGGCAGAACAGUUUCAAAAGAGGGACCAAGGUGCCUGUGGCCUCACUGCCCAGGGCCACCUCAAAUCUCUGCUCCCUGCAUUCUGGUGCAGCAUUUCUUGGCUGCCCUAGCUGUUGCUCAAGCCACUCAGGAGGGUACAAGCUGUAUUACAUGGUGGCAUCCAUGAGAUGCUAACUCUGCAGGCACACAGAGUUCAUGAGCUGUGGAAGCAUGGCUACCUCCAUCUAGGUUUCAAAAGAUGCCUUGGAGAGCCUUGGAGAAUAGGCAGAGAACUUCUACCAGGAGAAGACUGCCACUGAAAAUUCCCACCAGAGCAAUGCCCAGCAGAGGCAUGAGGUUGGAGUGACCUGUGACAUCUGAGACAUGUAGGGCCACCAGUGUUCAGUGACAGCCUUGGGGAGCCACAGCCACUUGACUCUAACCCAUAACAGCUUCAGCAUGAGCUGAGCUCAGACAAUCCACGGGAGUAGGAUCCCCUGGAGUCUUGGGGACCCAACCCCUGCCCCAGUGUGUCUGGAAUAAGGGACGUGGAGUCAAAGAAUAUUAUUCUCAGGCCUCAAGAUUGAAUGUUGUUUGCCUUGUUGCGUUUUAGACUUACUCAGGACCUAUUACCCCUUUCUGCCUUUCUGUUACUUUUUCUUAGAAUGGGAAUGUCUAUCUGAUGCCUGUCCCGCUACUGUAUAUUAAAAGUACCUUGCUUUAUUUCACAGGCUCACAGCUGGAGAAGGAAUUUGAAUUAAAGAAAUCAUACCACAAGUUUCAUCUGUACCUGAUUUAGAUGAUAUUUUGGAUGAUAUUUUAGAUGAUAUUUAGUUUAGAAUUUGGACAUAGAGUUUUAAGUUGAUGCUGGAAUAAGUAAAGAUUUGGGGGGCUAUUGGAAUGGAAUGAAUGUAUUUCACAUGUGAGAAGGACACAAAUUUAGGGGAGACUGGGGCAGAAUGCUAUGGUUUGAAUUUGCCUGUCUUUCAAAAUUUGUGGUAAAAUGUAGUCCUCGUUGUUGUAGUAUUAAAAGAUGGGGCCUAUGGGGAAGUGAUUGAGUCAUGAAGGAUCUGCUCUCACGGACGGAUUAGUGCCUUGUAACCGGGAUGGAGGAAACUAACUUAGGUCUCUUUUUUCCUUCUGCCAUACGCAGCAACAAAGCACCAUCUUGGAAGCAGAGAGCCACCCUCACCAGAACUGAAUGCAGGCACCGUGACCUUGAACUUCCCAGCCUCCAGAACUUGCUGCCAGGACCUGCAGAACUCCAGAUGGAUUCCCCUGGCUGACACUUGAAAGAUUUUUGCUCUAACUUAAUAGAAAUGACAGACUGGCAAAGCCAUAGUUAAAUCAGCUGGAGGAGCCACAAAUCAAAUCAUCUUUACAGAAAGAUGUGAGUGCACAUGGAAAUUUAUGGAGUCUCUCAGCAUUGUAGAAGAGCCUCUGUUUCUUCUCACUGGUUCCUGUCCUCCUCAGCUUGGUAUAUAACUCCUGAGGGCUGAAUACCUGGUUGCUGAAGGAUCCAGUCCCUGCCCUAUAACCGAGGAAGAAUUUCUACUUCCCCUUCCUGUCCAGAAGUGAUAUUCCCAGGUAUCACCUUUUUCUCUCCUGCCCUAUGGACUUCAGAUAUAUCUAUCUGCCUUUCACUAUGACAAUAAAUGUCACUGAUUUGCUUUAAUGGUAGAAAAGACUACAGAGAGAGAGAGUAAAAAUAAAAAAUGUAUUAAUAUGGGAGAAUAUACACCCAGAGGAAUUUUUGAAAAUAGUUUCUCCAUCACAGAAGCAAAACUAGAGCUGGGUGGUUUAUACUGGGUGAUAUAGUUUGGCUGUGUCCCUACCCAAAUCUCACCUUGAAUUGUAAUAAUUCCCAUGUGUCAAGUGUGGGACCAGGUAGAGAUAAUUGAAUCAUGGGGGUGGUUUUCCCCAUACCGUUCUCACGGUAAUGAAUAAGUCUCAUGAGAUCUGAUGGUUUUAUAAAUGGGAGUUCCCCUGCACAAGCUGUCUUGCCUGCUGUCAUGUAAGAUGUGACUUUGCUCCUCAUUCACCUUCUGCCAUGACUGUGAGGCUUCCCCAGCCAUGUGGAACUGUGAGUCAAUCAAACCUCCUUCCUGUAUAAAUUACCUAGUCUCAGGUAUGUCUUUAUUAGCAGUGUGAGAACAGACUAAUACUAUCUCCUCCUGUAGAUAGCAAAGGAGUGAUUCUACUGCAUUAACAUUAAUCUCAUGAAUUUAGCAUCAUUCCAGUCCUGGUUUUAGCUCAAGCCUAAUUGGAGGAGAGUAGACAGCAACCAGCUGUAAUACAAAAAGCAACCAUUUGGAAUCAGAGCUAGAUUCAAAUCCAGGUCUCAUCACUUCAUACAAUGUUACCUUUGGGCAAGUUAUUCUGUCUCUUUGGGCUUCAAGUGGCCUUUCCAAAAUGUCAUCUACAUCAUAAAAGUGUUGCUGAUAUUCAGUGAAAUAUUCCAUAUGAAACCCCUCACAAAGGACCAGGAACAUAGUAAGUCUAAAUACAUGUUUGUUUCCAUUCCUCCACCAUUUUCCUUUAUAAGAUGAAGUGAGAAAUUAUAUGCUCUCUGGGAAAUGGCUAUCUGCAAAGACUUGUGGCAUUCUACUUUCUGGAUAUAUUGCCUUAUGUCUGGCAAACUGUACUGAUUAAAACUUUGAACAGAAGAAGGAAAAACUAAUUUGGAAGGGCUAAUCAAGACUCUCCAUAGUCCAAAAGGGAUGAUUUCUCAGUUGUGCAGAGAACCAAUAAACCUCCAUCCUGAGGACAAAAGUAAUUUUGUGAAACUGCAUGAAGUUUCUCUAGAGAGAGAGACUUCACAAAGCCCAGUGGUCACAGCUGUGCAGUGGAACCGAACUACUUUGAAUCUCUGCCAUCAAAGGAAAGAAUCUCAGGAUUUUCUGCUACAGAAGCAUGAUCGUGUUUAAAUUCUUAAAAUGCUGCAUUAGCAAGAAUUCUCCACAGAAACAGACUCUCUCUCUAGAGUUGAGAGAGAGAGAGAGUUAAUAUAGGAAUUGGCUCAUGGGACAAUGGAGGCCAAGAAGUUCCAGAAUCUGAUGUCUGCAAGCCAGCAAACAAAGCCAAUAAUGUAAUUUAGUCUGAGUUCAAAGGCCCAAGAAUGGAGGUACUGAUGGUAUAAUUCCUGAUCUGAGUCUAAAGGCCCAAGAACCAGGAACACUCAUGUUAACAGAAAAUGAAUAGGCCAGGUGCAGUGGCUCACACCUGUAAUCCCAGCACUUUGGGUGGCUGAGGCCGGCAGAUCCAUCGAGGUCAGGAGUUUGAGACCAGCCUGACCAACAUGGUGAAACCCUGUCUCUACUAAAAAUACAAAAAUUAGCUAGAUAUGGUGGUGUGUGCCUGUAGUCCCAGCUACUUGGGAGGAUGAGCCACAAGAAUGAACCCAAGAGGCAGAGGUUGCAGUGAACUGAGGUUGCGCCACUGCACUCCAGUCUGGGUGACAGAGCAAGAAGAAAAAAAGAAGAGAGAUUAAUGUCUCGGCUCCAUAAGGAAAGAGAAAAU